CUCUGGCACUGCCACAUCCACCACCAGCAGGGAACAGCAGCAAGAAGGUGCGAUGCUGUCCCGGCUCUUGUCGCAGCAUGCGGAGACAUCUAACGGCCCCGUAACACACUGCAGACCAUUAAUCGUAGCGCACAGCAUCUUGCCAGCAUGCCUGAGCAGUGACCUGGAGCUGCCACCUCUGCAGAGCUCAGCCAGUCCCACAGACAGCAAUGCAUGCGAGGCGUGAGCUCCGUGCCAGCCGCAGCGAUGGACUCUGUGACCGGUAACUUGUCACCAGCACACCCACCUCGAAAGUCAAGAAGCAAACGUGUCCUGGGUUGCAGAGGGUUUGAGUCAAAUCCCUGGUAGAUGUUGCUCUGCAUCAUGAUUGCAGUGCUUGUAUCCAGCUCAUGCAACCUGUGGUAGGUUAGAGGGGUGAUGGAGCGGUGACCGCUGUGGAUAUAAAGGUGAAUCUUUGAUUUUGUGUGGCAAAGCCCAGGUGGAAUGUGUGAGCAUUUCCCCCUGACUGCUGAAAUCUGCAGUGAAAUGUUUUACUCAGCAUGCUCAGCUCUAGCGGCACAUCCCACCCCUGGAAAGGAAUUAAAUAAAAAUGGGGGGAAAGGGGAAGAGCAAAGAACCUACGCAAGGAAUUUUACUCCACAAAUACGGAAACGUCUCGAACGUGCCACUGGCAUGUUGCAGCAGACAGCUUAAGCUGAGAGAAAAUUCUUUGGCAGUGACAUCAAUUCAGCAGUAAGUGAAGCAUUUUCUAGGGCUGAAAUUCAAAUUAAGGUCUCUUCGGUGAGUGGAAUGACUGAAUGGUAUUUAAUACAAAAAAAAAAAAAAAAAAAGACUCCUUUUGUUAGGCUCUCAUCUACCCGUAAUUUAAAAGUUGUUUUUUCCCCCCCUUUUUUUUUUUUUUACUACUUGAACCAUGCCACAAGUACUGAAGUCUGCAAGAACUGCCUGGAACUUGGUCUUCUUUAGAACUUGCCACCUAAUCCCACACAUCUAGAAACUGACAAUAAUGUUUUUGGAUGCUGAGUGACUAAUCCAGACUUUGAGCACCUUGGGCCCAUUCACAUUCACCCCUUCCACCAACAUGCUGGGACCCAGCAGAAACCACAGGCCCUCUGAAUACUGGAGAAGGAGAGAAAAGGACAGUUCUGGACUGUGCAUCUUGGAGAAAUAUGGCCCAGAACAACCUUUUUGUUCAGUAAGUCGUGCAGCUUUCAGCAGUCGGUGGUUUAUAGCCUCACUAAGCCAAAACCUGCCUCUGUUUAAUAACCCCUAGUGAAUCUCUCCUCCAGAAAUUGUCACCUUUUUUCAUUCUAUAAUAUAUAUAUAUAUUUAUAUAGAAAUUGCCAUAAUUUUACGAGGGAGUUCUCACUGCCUAUGAAUUUAAAACUAGCCUGGAUAAUGCUCUCAUGAAAAAGCAGUAAAAAUAGUUUUUACAUCAAGGGAAGGGCUUAAAAGUUUAUUUUCUUGCUGAGUGACUGGAGUUAGGCAAAACCCAUCCCCAAAGUUUCAUUGCUGGUGAUGCAGCUGUAGGGAUUGCCAAAUACAUACUCAAUAGAAGACUAGUUUUCUAAAAAUAGUGAUUAGAUCGUUAACUCUGUCUCUCUCUUGAUCCAAAUUAAGUCUGAGGACAGAUCUGGAGCUGGUGUGAAGGGAGGGGGUGCUG